ACUGAAAAAACGAAUAGAAACCUGUGCUCCCUCCUUCACGCGGCAAUUCCCCUUGUAGCGUUCGUGGUUCGCAAGCAGCCUCCGAUUAGGUUUCGGUUCUCAAAUCUGCUCCUCUAAUGGCGACGGUAGCAUCUGCUGGAAUCAAUGACAUUAGUAAUAGCAAGAAUUCGCUCGGAGAAAACCCUAGUCAAACCCUAGACCCGACGAUUUCUUCCUCGGCCCAGCCUCCUGUCUCUGUUCCGCUGUCGUCAACUGAUGGCGGGUCUUCCAAGGAAAUGGAUGAAUCUAAGGGCUCCGAUAAGACGUCGGUUGAAGGUGAUGGCGAACCUGUUUCUGAUGUCCAGAGGAAAAUGCGCCGUGCUGAGCGUUUUGGGAUUUCGGUGCAAUUGUCUGAAGAAGAAAAACGUAAUUCUCGAGCAGAACGGUUUGGUAUGGGCACCACAACUAAUGGAUUGGGAGCAUCAAAUAAGUCAGAGGAGGUGAAGAGAAAGGCUAGAGCUGAGAGAUUUGGGCUUCCUGCAUCUGUGGCCACUGAUGAUGAGGCAAAGAAGAAAGCUCGACUUGGUAGGUUUUCUUCAACAUCAAAGCCAGACUCCCAGGAGGAAGAAAAGAGGAAAGCGAGGGCAAUCAGGUUUUCUAAUCCAACAUCAAACUCCCUCACACAAGUGGAUGGGAAGGGAAACAUUGAGACGAUUGCAGAUAUUGCAGGCAAGGCUGGAGGUGGUGCCUGAAAAGAACAUUCCCUGUUUGAUGGCAAGGUAGCUUUUGCUUGUAAUUUUCUUCUGUUGGUCUAAUAGCCUGGUUAUAAUUCCCCGUAAUGGCUUCCAUACCCAUGUUCAUUCCUUUAUAUUAUUAUCUAGUUCCAAAGUCUUCCAUUCUGAGGGCAGAAUCAAUACUGCAAGGUGCUUUGCUCCAUGUUUCGCUGAGAUGAGGUUCCCUAGAUUCAGUUGUGUCAGGUUAUUAAUUCUCUGGUUAGGUGUUAUAGUAAUAGAAAAUACCUCCCUAGGUCAAGCCUAUCUUACAGUUUGUUAAGAAUAUCAGAAAUCUCUGAAUUUUUUAUCCCUCCAAUGUUUUGGUUAUCAUCUUCAGUUUAUAUCUCCCUUGUGAUGGCAAGUUGGAUGUUCAUGAUACCAUUUGAAUGGCAGUGCUAGGUUUCCAUGUGCAUUGUUUCCAUCUGAUACUCACUGGUUGAAAUUUACUAAUUUUGUUGAAUUCGCCUUUGGGAUUAGAAAGCUAACAGUUUCUUGUUUUACUUUGAGUUAAUAUAAUCAGGUUUUUAGUUUUAUAGCUAUAAUUUAGUUUGGAUUUUAGGCUGUUUCUUUUUAAUGGUAGGUUUUUCUUUUUGCUGACUGUAAUAAUGUAAGAUUAAUGUCCAAUCAUUUACGAUUGAGUUUUGGUUUCUUUGUGUGAUGCCACCACAUCUCAUCUCAUAGCAUCAGUGAUAAUUACUCAUCAUGGAAUUUACUUCUACACUUUUUAGAUGCCUAGUUUUAGUAUGACCUGAAGAAUAGUUCAAUUAGAAUGGUCGUAUGUUGAAUCUUAUUUAGAAAUGCCGUUCAAAAUGUCAUCAUGAGAUAACAUCUCGAACUUGUGUGAGAAUAAACUGAAGAUAAGUCUUGGGAGGGGAAGUAAUUAUCUAUUCCCUUGGUAAGUUGUCGUGUGGGAGAAGCUGAAUUCCCUCUUCUAACUUGGAAGUUUCUGAUAUUCUUGCUUGGUAAUAUAGGAUGGACCGAGUCUAUGGAGGUAUUUGUUGUGGCCCUCUUAGAAGUCUCUGCAUGUAUUGAGGCCUGUAGCUGAGAAUGGAUUGUGUACUCUAAAAAUAGGUGUCUCUGUCAAGUCUCUGUUGUUUCUUUCUUCGUUUCCUUUUAUCUUAUUUUGCAUAGCUAGUCAGCAGCUACGUGUAUUUAGUUUCUUUUGGAUUUUUGGUUGGAUGUAAUGGUAUGGAAUGGCCGCAACAUUUAUCGAGGGAAUCAAUCUUUUGAUCAAAAGUUCUUUUUAGAUA